rnacentral:rRNA from 1 species
UACAGAGGUCUCAAGCGUUGUUCGGAUUCAUUGGGCGUAAAGGGUGCGUAGGCGGCGCGGUAAGUCGGGUGUGAAAUCUCGGAGCUUAACUCCGAAACUGCAUUCGAUACUGCCGUGCUUGAGGACUGGAGAGGAGACUGGAAUUUACGGUGUAGCGGUGAAAUGCGUAGAUAUCGUAAGGAAGACCAGUGGCGAAGGCGGGUCUCUGGACAGUUCCUGACGCUGAGGCACGAGGUCAGGGGAGCAAACAGG